rnacentral:snRNA from 2 species
AUACAUUUCUCGGCCUUUUGGCUAAGACCAAGUGUAGUAUCUGUUUUUAUCAGUUUAAUAUCUGAUAUGUGGCCCAUCGGGUCACACGAUACUAACUCUAUUUUUUAAGGGAUGAGAUCCAUCAAGAUAGCUUGCUAUCUGGGUCUCUAUGAGUCGCCAUGUGUUGCACUAUUGCACGGGUCUGGCUCAUCCCGC